UUUUUUGUUGUUGAUUUUUUUGUUAGUCAUGGCGUUGACGGUUUGUUUUCGACUUCUGAGUUUGAAUAAUCCUUUGAUAUUUUUCGCCUAUCUUUCUAUGUGUUCUACUAUAGUAAAACAGCAUACUGAAUGAGUGACACUAUUUUCAAUUGUAAUAUUAUGAAACAAAAUUCACGGCUGCUUGAGAGGAAUUGAAUUUUCAAAGUGGACAAUUUGAUUUCGAAAACAUUAGGACAUGACAACGACUAACUUGGUGAGAGCAUUGUGCAAAUCGUAUAUAUCCAUGUAGGCUACUAAUUUUUCGCCACUUUUUGCACAUUAAAUCGUAUUUAUUGAUUUAAAUUCUAUGAGAUAUAAUGCUUUUCCUAUGUAAAUACCAAAAAGCAUACUAUACAAUUCCUUGAGUAUUAUAAAAGGGUGGGAAAGGCUUUAUAUAGUGUGAGAUUUUGUCAAUUUUUUUCAUUAAAAUAAAGUAUAAUAUACAGGUUUCUAUUCUAUAGUUUCCUGAUUUUCAUAUCGAAUUUUGUCAAUACACCAUUGUCCUAUUAGGUUUCUUUUACGUUUUCUUUCCAUUAUACAAGAAAAGAUUCAACGAAAAUCACCAAUGCAGAACAACGCAAAAAGAUACACAACAUCACUUAUCUUGAUUCAAGGCAAUUAAAAAAGAAAAAAAGAAAAAAAAAGGAUGCAAAGGAUUUCCCCAAAAGUUUAUUACUUCACAACCUAAUUAUAGAACCAGAGACAUAUAAUACAAUAUUAUAUUAUAUGUCUCUGAAAGAAUCGAG
rnacentral:lncRNA from 1 species